UACUGUUGUAGUGAGACGUAGUGAGACGUAGGUGUGUUUACUGUUGUAGUGAGAUGUAGGUGUGUUUACUGUUGUAGUGAGACGUAGGUGUGUUUACUGUUGGUACAAGAUGUAGUGAGACGUAGGUGUGUUUACUGUUGUAGUGAGACGUAGGUGUGUUUACUGUUGUAGUGAGACGUAGGUGUGUUUACUGUUGUAGUGAGACGUAGGUGUGUUUACUGUUGUAGUGAGACGUAGGUGUGUUUACUGUUGGUACAAGAUGUAGUGAGACGUAGGUGUGUUUACUGUUGUAGUGAGACGUAGGUGUGUUUACUGUUGUAGUGAGACGUAGGUGUGUUUACUGUUGUAGUGAGAU
ensembl:lncRNA